GAAGGUAUAGCUCAGUGGUAGAGUGCGUGCUUAGCAUGCACAAGGUCCUGGGUUAAAUCCUAGAUGCCUCCA
rnacentral:tRNA from 1 species